UACGGGGGGGGCAAGCGUUGUUCGGAAUUACUGGGCGUAAAGGGCUCGUAGGCGGCCAACUAAGUCAGACGUGAAAUCCCUCGGCUUAACCGGGGAACUGCGUCUGAUACUGGAUGGCUUGAGUUUGGGAGAGGGAUGCGGAAUUCCAGGUGUAGCGGUGAAAUGCGCAGAUAUCAGGAGGAACACCUAUGGCGAAGGCAGCUCGCUGGGACGGUAUUGACGCUGAGACGCGAAAGCGUGGGGAGCGAACAGG
rnacentral:rRNA from 1 species